UAAUCUUUGCAACAACUUUAUUCCCCCUUUUCCACAUAAGUGAGCCACACAAGGAUUCUUUUUCUUGCAAUCAAAAUGUAGACAUAUACCAGCCAGCAUAAAAGGAGAAAGGGAAUGUAAGUCCCUUCCUUUCAAGUGCUAAACCCAGAAAUUGCACAUGUCACUUGGCCACAGUGGGUAGAGAGGCUAGGAUCAUUAUUCUUGAUAGCCAUGAACCAUCUAAAAUUCAAGGGUUCUAUUACUAAAUGACUAUGUUUUACCCCUAAGAUGGGCUAAAAUGAUAGGCUAUAGGUACAGGCACAGAUACAGAUAUGGAUAUAGAAAAUACAUAGCGUGGAGGAGUGGAGAAUGGGCACUCCUAGCAUAUACUGGUGGUGGAAGUGU
rnacentral:lncRNA from 10 species